AUUGAACGCUGGCGGCAUGCCUUACACAUGCAAGUCGAACGGCAGCGGGGACUUCGGUCCGCCGGCGAGUGGCGAACGGGUGAGUGAUGCAUCGGAACGUACCCUUCAGUGGGGGAUAACUAUCCGAAAGGAUAGCUAAUACCGCAUAUUCUCUGAGGAGGAAAGCGGGGGACCUUCGGGCCUCGCGUUGAUGGAGCGGCCGAUGUCAGAUUAGCUAGGUGGUGAGGUAAAGGCUCACCAAGGCGACGAUCUGUAGCGGGUCUGAGAGGAUGAUCCGCCACACUGGGACUGAGACACGGCCCAGACUCCUACGGGAGGCAGCAGUGGGGAAUUGUGGACAAUGGGGGCAACCCUGAUCCAGCCAUGCCGCGUGAGUGAAGAAGGCCUUCGGGUUGUAAAGCUCUUUCGGCCGGGAAGAAAUCGCACAGUCUAAUACGCUGUGUGGAUGACGGUACCGGAAUAAGAAGCACCGGCUAACUACGUGCCAGCAGCCGCAGUAA
rnacentral:rRNA from 1 species